rnacentral:rRNA from 1 species
UACGGAGGGGGCUAGCGUUGUUCGGAAUUACUGGGCGUAAAGAGCGCGUAGGCGGUUUAUCAAGUUGGGAGUGAAAUCCCGAGGCUUAACCUCGGAACUGCUUUCAAAACUGAUUAACUUGAGAAUAGUAGAGGAUGGUGGAAUUCCUAGUGUAGAGGUGAAAUUCUUAGAUAUUUAGGAGGAAACACCGGUGGCGAAAAGCGGCCAUCUGGGCUAUUUCUGACGCUGUGGCGCGAAAGCGUGGGGAGCAAACAGG